UGGUGCGAUCAUACCAGCACUAAUGCACUGGAUCCCAUCAGAACUCCGCGGUUAAGCAUGCUUGGGCAAGAGUAGUACAGGGAUGCGUGACCUCCUGGGAAGUCCUCGUUUUGCACCCC
rnacentral:rRNA from 1 species